AACUUUGCGCAGAGGCAAAAUGAUAACAAAUGAGGUUAAUCCGACGUGCAAUAAUUGCUUGUUGAAAAUUUGCCACGUGGAUGUGAAAUAUUGCAGUUUUUCAGGAAAA